rnacentral:rRNA from 1 species
CUAAUACCGGAUGAGCCCUACGGGGGAAAGAUUUAUCGCCAUUGGAGCGGCCCGCGUCUGAUUAGCUAGUUGGUGAGGUAAAGGCUCACCAAGGCGACGAUCAGUAGCUGGUCUGAGAGGAUGAUCAGCCACAUUGGGACUGAGACACGGCCCAAACUCCUACGGGAGGCAGCAGUGGGGAAUCUUGCGCAAUGGGCGAAAGCCUGACGCAGCCAUGCCGCGUGAAUGAUGAAGGUCUUAGGAUUGUAAAAUUCUUUCAGCAGGGACGAUAAUGACGGUACCUGCAGAAGAAGCCCCGGCUAACUUCGUGCCAGCAGCCGCGGUAAUACGAAGGGGGCUAGCGUUGCUCGGAAUUACUGGGCGUAAAGGGCGCGUAGGCGGGUCGUUUAGUUAGAGGUGAAAGCCCAGGGCUCAACCCUGGAAUUGCCUUUAAUACUGGCGGCCUUGAGUAUGGCAGAGGUGUGUGGAACUCCGAGUGUAGAGGUGAAAUUCGUAGAUAUUCGGAAGAACACCAGUGGCGAAGGCGACACACUGGGCCAUUACUGACGCUGAGGCGCGAAAGCGUGGGGAGCAAACA